AGAAGGAAGGCCUUGUGGAUAGGGCACUGGACUAGGACUCAAGAGACCUUGGUUCAAUUCCUGCUUCUGCUG
rnacentral:tRNA from 1 species